rnacentral:rRNA from 1 species
AGUCGAGCGAGUCUGCCUUGAAGAUCGGAGUGCUUGCACUCUGUGAAACAAGAUACAGGCUAGCGGCGGACGGGUGAGUAACACGUGGGUAACCUGCCCAAGAGAUCGGGAUAACACCUGGAAACAGAUGCUAAUACCGGAUAACAACAGAUGAUGCCUAUCAACUGUUUAAAAGAUGGUUCUGCUAUCACUCUUGGAUGGACCUGCGGUGCAUUAGCUAGUUGGUAGGGUAACGGCCUACCAAGGCGAUGAUGCAUAGCCGAGUUGAGAGACUGAUCGGCCACAUUGGGACUGAGACACGGCCCAAACUCCUACGGGAGGCAGCAGUAGGGAAUCUUCCACAAUGGACGCAAGUCUGAUGGAGCAACGCCGCGUGAGUGAAGAAGGGUUUCGGCUCGUAAAGCUCUGUUGUUGGUGAAGAAGGACAGGGGUAGUAACUGACCUUUGUUUGACGGUAAUCAAUUAGAAAGUCACGGCUAACUACGUGCCAGCAGCCGCGGUAAUACGUAGGUGGCAAGCGUUGUCCGGAUUUAUUGGGCGUAAAGCGAGUGCAGGCGGCUCGAUAAGUCUGAUGUGAAAGCCUUCGGCUCAACCGGAGAAUUGCAUCAGAAACUGUCGAGCU